rnacentral:lncRNA from 10 species
GUGACGAAACUUCAGCUUUAAGAGGUUAAAAGACUUGUCCAGAGUCAUGUUAACAGCAGAAACAGAUGAACUCUCAAGAAAUAAAGAUCUCGUUUUCAUGGAAAUCAUCUCCCAAGAACAAGAGAAAAAAAUAAAGAAAAUGUAUGAGAGACUUGGGAUUGCUGUAAAAGACAACAGGUGUCAGAGUUUUCUAUGAAGACUUCACUAUUCCUUGAGCUACAGCUUCAGACACAGCCAAGUAUAAUGCUCUUGCUUCAUGAAGCCAAACAGCCACUUUCUUCUCUGGAAUGUUAAUCUGCUCUUAUUGGAGUUAGCAACCCCAGGAGGAUCGCUUCCUGAUUUGUCUUAUCCAGAAAAAAAAAAAACAAAAAAACCUCCUCUUUCCCACCUCUGGAGUGCUGUGAAUACUCAGAAGGGAUAGACACAUCACCACUGAGAAUUCCCACAUUUCCUUAUGCUGCUGCUCUAAGAGGAUAUGAAAGAUUCUGUUUUAAUCUAAACAAAAACUGAAAAGGGAAGAGGCAAAUUUUUGUGUUGAUGCACAUUUUCUUUCUCAUAUUUAGCUAAAAUUUACCUCUAAUUACUCCUUUAAGAAAUAAAUGAGUUAGGCAUAAUGUCUUCCAAUGUCCCUCCAGUUGUAUCACAAUUAUCAUGAAUCAUCAUAGUGGUUCCUUUGUCCUUGAGGAAUUUAUUUAAUUCAUAGACACUAUUACUUUGCUUUCAUGCAAAGUAUGUGAAUCAUGUAAUUCAUGUGAAUCAAGGUCUAGGAAAACAGAGGGAGUUUAUCACAUAAACAUAGAAAAGUUAUUUAUCUUACUUAACUUAUAAGAAAUGCAAAUUUUUUAAUCUUGAGAUUUCCAAGGCAGUUUUUAAAGUAUGCAUCAAAGAAGGCACACAGUUUAUACAAAUAUUUUCAUCCUCUUUGGUUU